rnacentral:rRNA from 1 species
GAUUAAGUGUCGUAAGGGCAUUUGGUGGAUGCCUUGGCAUGCACAGGCGAUGAAGGACGUGAUACGCUGCGAAAAGCCGUGGGGAGCUGCGAAUGAGCUUUGAUCCAUGGAUCUCCGAAUGGGGCAACCCACCUUAAAUGCUUGGAAAAUCCAAACUGACUGUAAGGUCGGCUUGGGUUUCCAAGCAUUGUGAUAAGGUAUCUACACCUGAAUACAUAGGGUGUAAGAAGCGAACGCAGGGAACUGAAACAUCUAAGUACCUGCAGGAAAGGACAUCAACCGAGACUCCGCAAGUAGUGGCGAGCGAACGCGGACCAGGCCAGUGGCAAUUGUGAUUAAAGUGGAACGCUCUGGAAAGUGCGGCCGCAGUGGGUGACAGCCCCGUACGCGUAGAUAUCACGAUUGUCCUAGAGUAGGGCGGGACACGAGAAAUCCUGUCUGAACAUGGGGAGACCACUCUCC